rnacentral:rRNA from 1 species
UAACACUAACUGGAGGACCGAACCGACUAAUGUUGAAAAAUUAGCGGAUGACUUGUGGCUGGGGGUGAAAGGCCAAUCAAACCGGGAGAUAGCUGGUUCUCCCCGAAAGCUAUUUAGGUAGCGCCUCGUGAAUUCAUCUCCGGGGGUAGAGCACUGUUUCGGCAAGGGGGUCAUCCCGACUUACCAACCCGAUGCAAACUGCGAAUACCGGAGAAUGUUAUCACGGGAGACACACGGCGGGUGCUAACGUCCGUCGUGAAGAGGGAAACAACCCAGACCGCCAGCUAAGGUCCCAAAGUCAUGGUUAAGUGGGAAACGAUGUGGGAAGGCCCAGACAGCCAGGAUGUUGGCUUAGAAGCAGCCAUCAUUUAAAGAAAGCGUAAUAGCUCACUGGUCGAGUCGGCCUGCGCGGAAGAUGUAACGGGGCUAAACCAUG